UCUCGCUGUGCAGUCCAGGCUGGCCUUGAGCUCACUGUGUAGCCCAGGCUGGUCUCGAACUUGCAAUGAUUCUCCUGCCUUAGCCUCCCAAGUGCUGUGAUGGCAGGUGUGCACCACCACGCCUGGUCUAUAAAGUUUUUACAAAUAAUCUGUUUCCCUUCUAGGUGUCAUCCCAGAAGAGUCAAAGCCAUGGUAUCAGAGUGGUCUGUGCCUGUGUUUACAGCAACACAGCUGAUAACAGCUAAAUCUUGGAAGCAGCCCAGACACCUGUCCACAGGUAAAUGGAUAAAUGGCCUUCACACGGUGGAGUACUAUGUGGCCAUAAAUAAGGGUAAACCUGGGUUUUGUAGGAAAACAGAUGCACUGUGAGACCAUAAUGUUAAAUGAAAUAGACCAACCAGGUGUGGUGACGCAUGCCUGUAACCCCAGCAGGAACCUCAGGAGUUCAAGACCUAAUGGAACUAGACAGUGAGACCAAGGCCAGCCUGCUCUCCAAAUGAGACCCUGUCUCAAAAAAAAAAAAAAAAAAAAAAAAAGGUUCAGGCUGGCCUCGGACUUACUGUGUAGCCCAGGUUGGCAUGAAACACAGUCCUCCUGCCUCAGCCUCAUUAGUGCUGGUUGACAGGCUUCACAAUAAACAUUUAAGGAGCUGGGUUGUGGCUCAGGGCUCCCAAAUCUCAAUCCUACAGAAACUAAAGUAUCUGUUGAUGGGGGGCACUGAUCUCUAACCAUGACAUCCCCGAGUUCCUGGGCUGAUAUUUGGGGUGACCCCGGGCUGCCAGGAUCUCUACCUCUGGGCCCGUUUGCAGGCCUCUCCCAGAGCAAAGGCAGAGGGGCGGCUGUUCCCCUCCUGGCCGCUAGGUGGCAUCGCCGGCCCUGGUUUUGCCUUGCCCAGCGCAGGGUCUCGCGUGCAGGAGACCAGGAUUUGGUGCUGGGCGGUCCACGUUUUUUUUUUUUUUUUUUUUGUCUUUUUCCUUUUUAUCGGUACCGGGGGUCGAACCCACGACUGCCUGCUUUCAAGGCAGGCGCUUAUGCCGCUGAGCUAAAUCCCCAGCCCCUUCAUGUUUAACAGAACUGUGUAGCUAACAGCUUUGCUGUUAUUGUUGUACUGAGGACUGAGCCCAGGGAGCAGAGAUCUCUGUUAUUUAGUUUUUAAUUUUUUUCCAAUCAACUUCAGAAAGAUUAAUUUGAGACAGGGUCUCAUCGAAUCGCUAAAUCAUGCCUUUCUUUAGGGCUUCAAAUGGCCACCCUCCUGCCUCAACCUUUCACUGUGCUGGGGUGACAGGCAGGGUGGCUCAGGUGCCAGAGCUGGAGCACGAUGAGUGGACAGUGGCCUUUGGCAGAGGCCAGGUCGGACACUGGGGAGCCAAGGUGGGGGAGAAGCUGGGGAGGUCACGGGAGCCACUGGCAACGCCCUCUCUCUGUGGCCUUCCGCUGUCCUGGGAGACACCGUGGGCUGCGGAGGCAGCGAGCAGUGAAGCCUCAGGCCACGGUAGCAAAAUACCAUGAACCAGGAAUUUCCACACAACUGCCCGCCGCCAUCCUAAUGUUCCGGAGGCUGAAGAGGCUGAGGCAGGAGGAUCCAGAUGCAUUUGAGACCAGCCUGGGUACAGAGUGAGCCCACGGCCAGCCUGAGUUGCAUAGGGAGACCCUGGCUCAGAAAACCAAGACAGAAAGAACCACACGACACCUGUCACCUCAGCACUCAGGAGGCUGAGCCAGGAAGGUCACCGUGAGUUGGAGGCCAGCCUGAGACCCUGCUUAAAAAAUUAAAAUUUUAAAAAGGGGGCUGGGCCCCAGUACCAAAAAGAAGUAGGGGGCUAGGGAUGGAGGGUCUCUGUAGCACACAUGAGGUGCUGGGUUCAGCACCCUGAGGGGGAGGGAGACAGAGUUAGGGAUAGAGAGAGAGAGAGAGAGAGAGGUAGAUAGAUAAACAGAUAGAUAGAUAGAUAGACAGAUGGAUAGGUCAGACAGUCAGACAGAGAGAUGGGGCUGCACCAGGCACCUGGCUGACCUCAGCCUCUGGAGAAGCUGGGUUCGAUUAUAAUUUCCAAACGGUGAAUGCCAGCAGCGUAAGGAGGAAGAGGGUGCUGAGCUGGACAAGUUUAAACAGCUCUAUGCCCGGGAAGAGGCUGGGUCUGCCCCCUGCCUGGUUUUAUGUCAUUGUUGUUGUUUUGUCUUUUUGAGACAGGGUCUCACUGUGCAGUCCAGGCUGGCCUUGGGCUCACUCUGUAGCCCAGGCUGGUCUCAAACUCACAAGGAUCCUCCUGCCUCAGCCUCCCGAGUGCUGGGAUAACAGGAGUGCGGCACCACGCCGGGCUCCCCCUGCCUGUUUUUAUGAAUAAAGAUUUAUCGGUACACGGCUCCACACGUGUGUGUACAGUGCCUUCCAGCCGGGACCACCUGGGCCAUAGGACCAAUUUUUUUUUUUCUUUUGAGGUGGUUUCGUUGUCAUGCAAGCUGACCUUGAACCCCAGAUGCUCCUGCUUCUUUACCCCCACCUUCCAGUGCAGGGAUCAGAGGUACUCACGGCUCAAAACUAAAACUUUAAAUAUCAAUUUGGACCUAGGCGGGGUAAUACAUACCUGUAACCCCAGCAUACAGGGAGGCUGAGGCAGGAGGGUUAUGAGUUCAAGUCCCACCUCCUGAAACCCUGUCUAGAAAGUAAACAGUGAAAAAGGCCUAGGAUGGACUUAGGUCACCUCCGGGUUCAAUCCCCAGUACCAGAACCAGCAAACACCAAAAACAGACGCUUUGGGGUCAGAGCUGAACCCAGUCUUUUUGCCCGUGUUAACCUUCUACAUACCUGCACCCUCAGUCCUGAAGGUGGUUGCAAUUUAAGGCCAAAAACUGCCAGGUGGGGUAGCUCCCACCUGUCAUCCUAGUAUUUGAGAGGCUGAGGCAGGAGUGUCUCUGGAAGUUUGUAGGCCUUUGGACCACAUAGUGAGAGCCUGUCUCAAAGGAAGGAAGGGAGGGAGGCCUGCUGGGAAUUAAGUACCAUGUCUAUCCUCGGGUCUCCAGUGCACCUAUGGUUUCUCUGACAGAAAAGCAAAUGCCCAGAGAGGUUGUCAUUUCCCGCGCAGAGCUGAGCCUGGGCCAGUGUCCUGGGCUGUGGCAGGGUCAAGCUGUGGGGGUAUCAGGGAGCCCCCGCCGUCCUCUUGUCCUCUUUCCCUGGACCGUGUGCAGCUCCUUGCAUGAGGCUUCUGGGGUGCUCAGAGCCCUGCCCAGGAAGAGCUCCCCUCCCAGGCCACCGUGAACCCUGACCCUUCCCUGCACCUGCCUCAGCCUCCUCCCUUCCUACUGAAGACUCAGUGUUGUGGCCUAGGAUGGUGGCGGAUGCCUCUGCGCCCACUACUUGGGAGGCUGAGGCAGGAGGAUCACAGAUUUGAGGCCACCCUGGGGAAUUUUGCAAGACCAUGUUUCAAAAUAGUAAUUCACCAAAAACAAAAAACAAAAUAAGACUUUGAGCCAAGUGUGGUGUGCACCUGUUAUCCCAGCACUCGGAGGAUCACUGGAGUUUGAGACCAGCUUGGGCUACAAAGUGAGCUCAAAGCCAGCCUGAACUGCAUAGUGAGACUGUCUCAAAAAAUCACAAAAAACAAACAACCCCCCCCCCAAAAAAACCAAAAUAAUAACUCACAAAAGGGCUGGGGAGCCUAGCUUUGUGGAGGGCACUUGCCUAGCAUAUAUGAGGUCCUGGAUUUCAUCCUUAGCAUUGCAAAAAAAUAGUACAGUUCUACGGUUUUUAAGAUUUAUUAUUGUUAUUAUUUGAUUCUUUUAGGACAGGAUCUCACUCUGUAGUACAGGCUGGCCUUGUACUCACUGUGUAGCUCAGACUGGCUGCUGACCUCUGGCUACCCUCCUGCCUCAGCCUCCGAGCACUGGGUGACACCAGCACACCUGGCUUGGUUGAGCUUUAGGCUCCAUUCACGGGAGCACUGAGGGAGCAGGCGGGAGGUGAGGCCUCCCACUGCUGCAGGCUGCAGGGGACCGCACCGUGGGGCCUCGCGGGCAGCUCUGCUCCGUGACCUCAGGGAUGGACCACUCUCGCCCACGCUGUUUCCCCCACCACGUUGUUUAAGGAAACCCUUGUGGCAAGUACCACAUUGGACAGGAGAUGCUAGGACGACCGGUCCUUGGGAGUGUUCCUUCCCGGGUACAGGCACCCUGAGCUGUUCUUGGGUUUUCUUCUUGGAGGUCGGUGUCCCCAGGCUCCACCUUUGCCUUAUUCAUAUUGAGACAGGGCCACGCAUAGUUGCUCAGCUGGGCCUCUGGUUUGUGAUCCCCCUGCCUCAGCCUCCUGAGCAGCUGAGAUGGCUGGCAUUGGACAGCAGGAAGCCGCAGCCCACCCCCUCUUCCCAGCAGAGCCGGUGAGCACGCGGCCUGGGCCUAACACCAGUCCAAUCCAGGGGCCACUGGGUUCAACCUUUUUUUAAUUUUUUUCCUUUUUUAAUGUCAUGCAAUAAUUCACAGUCCCAAGCCCACGGUUUUCAAACAAGGUAGGAAAAUAAAAUAAAGUAAAAGAAAACAAAAGAAAAAAAAAAGGGAAAAAUAAAGGAAAA